GCAUAUCAAUAAGCGGAGGAAAAGAAAAUAACAAUGAUUUCCCUAGUAACGGCGAGUGAAGAGGAAAGAGCUCAAAGUUGGAACCUGUUUGGCCUAGCUAAACCGGAUUGUAGACUGUAGAAGUGUUUUCCAGGCAAGCCGAGUAAAUAAGUCCUUUGGAACAGGGCAUCAUAGAGGGUGAGAAUCCCGUCUUUGGCUUGAGCAUUUGCCUUUUGUGAUACGCUUUCAAAGAGUCAGGUUGUUUGGGAAUGCAGCCUAAAUUGGGUGGUAAAUCUCACCUAAAGCUAAAUAUUGGCGAGAAACCGAUAGCGAACAAGUACCGUGAGGGAAAGAUGAAAAGAACUUUGAAAAGAGAGUUAAACAGUAUGUGAAAUUGUUAAAAGGGAACCGUUUGGAGCCAGACUGGCUUGUCUGUAAUCAAUCUAGGCUUCGGCCUGGAUGCACUUGCAGGCUAUGCCUGCCAACGACAAUUUGACUUGAGGGAAGAAACUAGGGGAAAUGUGGCCCACUUGUGGGUGUUAUAGUCCCUUAGAAAAUACCUUGGGUUGGAUUGAGGAACGCAGCGAAUGCUUAUUGGCGAGUUUUCCAGGAAGGUUUUCUGAGGUACUACGGUAUCAAGGUUGAUCUUUUUGGUUAUACUUCUAUUCGCUUAGGUUGUUGGCUUAAUGACUCUAAAUGAUCCGUCUUGAAACACGGACC
rnacentral:rRNA from 1 species